rnacentral:rRNA from 1 species
CCUACGGGUGGCAGCAGUGGGGAAUAUUGGACAAUGGGCGAAAGCCUGAUCCAGCCAUGCCGCGUGUGUGAAGAAGGCCUUCGGGUUGUAAAGCACUUUCAGUGGGGAAGAAAGCCUUGGGGCUAAUACCCUCGAGGAAGGACAUCACCCACAGAAGAAGCACCGGCUAACUCCGUGCCAGCAGCCGCGGUAAUACGGAGGGUGCGAGCGUUAAUCGGAAUUACUGGGCGUAAAGCGCGCGUAGGCGGUCUGAUAAGCCGGUUGUGAAAGCCCCGGGCUCAACCUGGGAACGGCAUCCGGAACUGUCAGGCUAGAGUGCAGGAGAGGAAGGUAGAAUUCCCGGUGUAGCGGUGAAAUGCGGAGAGAUCGGGAGGAAUACCCGUGGCGAAGGCGGCCUUCUGGACUGACACUGACGCUGAGGUGCGAAAGCGUGGGUAGCAAACAGGAUUAGAUACCCCUGUAGUC